rnacentral:lncRNA from 1 species
GGGAAAAAAUUAUUUCUGUUUAAUUAAAAAAGCAGAUAAUACCUAGAAAAUACGUAUUACUAUUCUCUCUCUCAUAUUGAGUAAAAACCAUAAACAGACUUGGAUUUUGGGGUAUGAAGAUUACUCGGAACUCUAGUAGCAUCCGGGAGAAAACAAAAGGCGUCAACAAUUAAGAAUUAUUCUAUGUAGGCAGAAAAGCAAACAUCUUUUUUUAUUAUU